rnacentral:rRNA from 1 species
GGUGUUCGGGUUGUCAUGCCAAUGGCACUGCCCGGUAGCUAAAUGCGGAAGAGAUAAGUGCUGAAAGCAUCUAAGCACGAAACUUGCCCCGAGAUGAGUUCUCCCUGAGACUUUAAGUCUCCUGAAGGAACGUUAAAGACGAUGACGUUGAUAGGUCGGGUGUGUAAGCGCAGCGAUGCGUUGAGCUAACCGAUACUAAUGAACCGUGAGGCUUAACCUU